UCUCAGUGAAGAGACAUUCACUUGUCUUACUUUCUACCCUCAACCUAGUUCAAAUGACAGGGUGAGCACAUCUGAGCUGGCUUGGGGAGAAGAGGAAAAUUCGUUCCAGCAGGAAUUGUUUGGGGAU